GGGGAUGCGGCUCAGUGGUAUAGCUCUUGUCUUGCAUGCCCAAGGCCCUGGGUUCAGUUCCCAGCAUCACCA
rnacentral:tRNA from 1 species